GCACCACAAAGCCAAUACCUGCUCUAUGACAUGGCAGACUGACUGCAGUUACUUAAACCCAAACUACUCUUGAGCAUAAUUGCUGCAGCCAGCAUCCAACAACUGGCAAUGCACAGAACUCUCAGUCACCAUUUCUCUGCAAGCAACCAGAGGCAAGUGAAGUCUGAUGUACAGCCAGGAGAAGACCAGUUUCAUCCUGGAUUUGAUAAGGUCACAGAAAACACAAAGUGCUUGUUGGCUUCCAGAAAGGAUGAAGAGAAAUAAGUGCAUCUUUGUAUGAAUUUCACAUUUGACUGGAAGUCUGACAGCAAGUCUGAGAAGAUCUACUGAAUAUUUUGACAUUUCAGUCAAGGAUAACAGAAAAUUUCUCCAAACCAGGGUGGAAAGCAAAGCCGAGCAGCAGUUAAGUGGAAAGGAGUCUGCCCUGUGGGAGCAGAGCAUGACCCUCAGGCAGCAAUGGUUGUCCGAUGGAGAGAUACGAGGGAAGAUUCCUGUUCUGCACAGGUCAUGGCUCUUUCCUGAAUGAUAGUGCUAGCACAAUUCAUGCUCAACAGCAAGUUAUCUGACUUCUAUGUGCUCUCAUUUCGCUCUCUGCAAAUAGGCUGGAUUACUUUGGCUGUUACCAGUGACACCUCUGACACUGAGUACUCUCAUUGAAUCUUAAAAAAAAGAGAUGCCAUCUUUUUAAUGACAUUGAAAGUUUCUCGAGGCCUUCCAGCAGUCUCCAUAUUUCUGCCAAGAGGCUGAUUUCUCAAGCAGACCCCUCUACUCUGCUUCCCACAAAGGCGGGGAUGCCAAAUUUUUCUUGUCACUGUCCAAAGUAGUUUUUAACACCUGCCUUUGUUGUUUUCACGUGAAACAGAGCAAUUCAGGUCAUGAAAGCAUUUGAUGUUGCUAAGCGUCUGAUGGUUUUACACUGAUCAUUAUAAUUUCAAACAAAAUAGUUUCAGAGUAGUGAAGGCAAGGGAAUAAUAUUUAGGUGAGAGAAUAACAGAUGCACUACUGCACUAACUGCUACAGCCAAAUGACACAUAAGCAUACCUAGUUUAAGGAAGAGUUUUGGAAACAUUUCAGG